CCUACGGGUGGCAGCAGUGGGGAAUAUUGCACAAUGGGGGAAACCCUGAUGCAGCGACGCCGCGUGAGUGAAGAAGUCCUUCGUUAUGUAAAGCUCUAUCAGCAGGGAAGAAAAUGACGGUACCUGAGUAUAACUCUGCGGCUAACUCCGUGCCAGUAGCCGCGGUAAUACGUAGGGGGCAAGCGUGAUCCGGAUUUACUGGGGGUAAAGGGAGCGUAGACGGCAGUGCAAGUCUGGAGUGAAAGGCGCGGGCUCAACCCCCGGACUGCUCAGGAGACUGUACGGCUGGAGUGCAGGAGAGGUAAGUGGAAUUCCUAGUGUAGCAGUGAAAUGCGUAGAUAUUAGGAGGAACACCAGUGGCGAAGGCAGCUUACUGGACUGUAACUGACGUUGAGGCUCGAAAGCGUGGGGAGCAAACAGGAUUAGAUACCCUGGUAGUC
rnacentral:rRNA from 1 species